rnacentral:rRNA from 1 species
UACGUAGGGGGCAAGCGUUGUCCGGAUUUACUGGGCGUAAAGAGCGUGUAGGCGGCCAAACAGGUCCGUUGUGAAAACUGGAGGCUUAACCUCCAGACGUCGACGGAAACCGUAUGGCUAGAGUCCGGAAGAGGAGAGUGGAAUUCCUGGUGUAGCGGUGAAAUGCGCAGAUAUCAGGAAGAACACCUAUGGCGAAGGCAGCACUCUGGGACGGUACUGACGCUGAGACGCGAAAGCGUGGGGAGCGAACAGG